AUACGGAGGGUGCAAGCGUUAAUCGGAAUUACUGGGCGUAAAGCGUACGUAGGCGGUUCGUUAAGUUAGAUGUGAAAGCCCCGGGCUUUACCUGGGAACUGCAUUUAAAACUGGCGGACUAGAGUUGAGUAGAGGGGAGUGGAAUUUCAGGUGUAGCGGUGAAAUGCGUAGAGAUCUGAAGGAACACCAGUGGCGAAGGCGACUCCCUGGACUCGAACUGACGCUGAGGUACGAAAGCGUGGGUAGCAAACGGGAUUAGAUACCCCAGUAGUCC
rnacentral:rRNA from 1 species